rnacentral:lncRNA from 10 species
AGGUGAAGUGAAGGACCCCAGUGACAGGAAGGUGAGGCCUCGUCCCACCUGCCGGUUCUUCAUGAAAGAUGUUGUGACACCAUUAUCCACUCUUCUUCCACCAAUAUCCAAUUCCAUACCAUUCAGAGGCCAGGUUAAAGAGUGAGGUGAUACGGUACAGAGGAAGUGGCUGAUUCUUACCGUUUUCUAGAUCAUGUCUUCUGCUGCUGCUUUGUUAUGAGAAAUUUGGACUUAAAUGUUUCUGCCUACCUGCAGUUUAUAUGAAAUUGAAAUUCUUCAGUUUAUGAUCUCUCCAAUAACAACAAGUUAUUUUAAAAACAAAAUGAAGUUUGUUGUGUUGGCAAGGAUAUGGAGAUGUUGGAGCCCUCAUUCACUGCUCGUGAGAGGGUAAAACGGUGCAGCUGCUUUAGGAAACAGUUCCUCAGAAGCUCCCGGGUACCCACUGUAUGACCCAGCAGUUCCACUGCAGGUAUGCAGCCAAGAGAAACGGACGUGUGCAUUUAUGUGAAAGCUUGUGCAUUAAUGUUCACAGCAGCAUAAUUUCCAGUAACCAAAGAGAAACAACCCAGGUACCCAAAAAGUGAGGAAUGGAUAAACAAGUGUGGCCUGUCCAUGCAGUGGAAUGCUACUUGGCCAUAAAGGGAAUGAAGCACUGGCUCAUGCCACAAUGUGGACAAACUUUGAAGACGUGCUGAGUGACAGAAGGGAGCACAGAAGGCCACAGGUCCACAGAGACAGAAAGCAGAUUGUGACUCACGCCGCAACGUGGACGAGCCUUGAAGACGUGCUGAGUGACAGAAGGGAGCACGGAAGGCCACAGAUCCACAGAGACAGAAAGUAGAUUGUGACUCAUGCCACAAUGUGGACGAGCCUUAAAGACGUGCUGAGUGACAGAAGGGAGCACAGAAGGCCACAGAUCCACAGAGACGGAAAGUAGAUUGAUUCCUCGUUGCCUGGACUGGGGGUGGAGAGUGAUAGCUAGUGAGUACAGGAUUUCCUCUUUGGGGUGAUGGAAUGUUCUAGAACUAGCUAGUGGUGAUGCUUACACAACUUUGUGAAUAUACUGCAAACCAGUGAAUUGUACACAUUAAAUGGGAGUAUUUUAUGUUAUGUGAAUUGUGUCACAAUUAGAAAAUUCUUUUCUUAGAAAAAAGUCGGUGGCUGGGCAUGGUAGCUCAUACCUG